UUGAAGAAAAUACAGAAAUUAAGAUUAAUGUUUGACUAAGUUCUGAUUUUUGUUGAGUCAGAAUCUUAAAACUUUUCUCGGCUCUGCCAUAAACUCUGAACAUUCAUGCGAGGCAAUGAGUGCGCCACUGGCUAGACCAACAUUUAUUCUCCAUCCUUAUUUUGAAGAUCUCGAUCCCAGGAGGGACCCCUCGGUUUCGCGAUCGGUCAGAAGGAAUAAGUCCAAGCUAGAUAUUGUCCACGACUUCCUGCAUAUUGACAUGGACUGCUUCUGACCUUAUGAAGAGAAGCAUGUUGAUAAAG